UUAAGCAUGUACAAAAUAAAUAUAAGAGGUUUUGAGUUAUAGGUCAUCACAGGGUCUGAGAAUUUCAUAAUCAAUUUGAUUAAUACAUGUAAAUUAUAGAAUUAUUUUGACUAUUUCCUUGGAAAGCCGCCCAAUAUGUAGGAGCGUGUAUUUAGAGGCAAACACCUAAGUGCGGGUAUUACUGUCUCAUGACAGCAUCUAGUUUUAAAGUUACUGUUGAGCCCUGAAGAUACAUUGUAAUUGUAAUUUUUUGACCUGCUUAUCAUGCUGUGGCGUGGCACUUUAUUAAUUUUUAUUUGACCACUUCUUCUCAAAACCCUUGAAAGCCCUUUUAGCUGAUGCCCUAAUUGCUAAACACACUUUUCUGCCAGACAGUGAGACUUGGAUUAAUCAAAGUACUGAGACAGUACUGAAAGACGGGGUCAAAAUAAUCUUCAUGCUAGAUUUCACAAAUGUGAUUUUUUUGUAGAGUUUUAAUAACAACUUUUAUCUUUCCAUUAACAUUCUAAAAAAAAAACUAUGAAAGAUAUAUACAUUCACAUUUUUCAUUUAAUUUGAUUUGAAGAGAAAUUUUAAUAAUUGCUCAGUCUGGAAACCUUUCUGAACUUUUCCGAAUUUCAUCAGGUACGAACUAAUAAAUUUUCCGGAAGUAAACAAUGGAUGAUGUGUACAGUCAUAAUAUUAUGCAGGAUAGUACUUUGUCUACUAGUGUUAUUUACAGUUAAUAUUUUUAGUUUUAAAUUAUCAAAAUACUUUAUUAGUUGAGAUAGAGAAAGGUUCAUAUCAAUUUCUUCAGUUUGAUAUAAUAUGUUUAUGUUUUCAAAUUGAUCGAAACAAUUUCUGCACCCUUUCGUACCGUAGAUUUAAUUCAUGUGUUAUCACCAUGGCUUCCUUUUUCUAUUUUUAGGCCUCUGAGAUUAAACUAAAAGUGACACCAUCUAAAAAUCAUUGCAUUUUAAGCAUACACUCUGAAAUACGCUGAAUAAGGAACCCACACUCCUCUUGACCAAACAAAGGAUAAUGAUACUUCAAGAACUUACACUGGGGAUCACAAAUUAUGGGCACAACACAUUGAAGAACUACUGGUGUAUUUGGAUAAGUCAUUUAGAUAUGAUGGAAUACUUGGCAACAUUGUAUAUGCAAUGGUUGCAAAGAAAAAGAACACAAACAAAGUGGACAGACAGACAGACAGCAGCAAAGCAAUUUGCCCUCCCUUCUUCCAAGGGGGGCAUAAUAAAUUAAGAAUAAGUAUAUGAAUGCUGGGAAGUGCAAAGAUGUGAAAUAUAUAGGCCUUUCAACUAAUUUUUCAUGUUGCACAUCUGGUUCAAAACAUAGU